GAUGAACGCUGGCGGCGUGCCUAAUACAUGCAAGUCGAGCGGACAGAUGGGAACUUGCUCCCGGAAGUCAGCGGCGGACGGGUGAGUAACACGUGGGCAACCUGCCUGUAAGACUGGGAUAACUUCGGGAAACCGGAGCUAAUACCGGAUACGUUCUUUUCUCGCAUGAGAGAAGAUGGAAAGAUGGUUUCGGCUAUCACUUACAGAUGGGCCCGCGGCGCAUUAGCUAGUUGGUGAGGUAAUGGCUCACCAAGGCGACGAUGCGUAGCCGACCUGAGAGGGUGAUCGGCCGCACUGGGACUGAGACACGGCCCAGACUCCUACGGGAGGCAGCAGUAGGGAAUCUUCCGCAAUGGACGAAAGUCUGACGGAGCAACGCCGCGUGAACGAUGAAGGCCUUCGGGUCGUAAAGUUCUGUUGUUAGGGAAGAACAAGUACCAGAGUAACUGCUGGUACCUUGACGGUACCUAACCAGAAAGCCACGGCUAACUACGUGCCAGCCGCCGCAGUAA
rnacentral:rRNA from 1 species